CCUGGAGGCACAGGCAUUACAGUGUUUCUGCCACCUCUGCACAAAAGACAAUUUUACUUGUGUGACAGAUGGGCUCUGCUUUGUCUCGGUCACAGAGACCACGGACAAAUUAUACACAAUAGCAUGUGUAUAGCUGAAAUUGACUUAAUUCCUCGAGAUAGGCCAUUUGUAUGUGCACCCUCUUCAAAAACUGGGUCUACAACAUACUGCUGCAAUCAAGACCAUUGCAAUAAAAUAGAACUCCCAACAAUUGGCCCUUUUUCAGUAAAGCCGUCACCCGGCCUUGGUCCUGUGGAACUGGCAGCUAUCAUUGCUGGGCCGGUCUGCUUCGCCCACAUCGCUCUCAUGUUGAUGGUCUUUAUCUGCCAUAACUGCACCGUGUCCACCAUCGAGUGCCAAAUGAAGAGGACCCUUCCUUAGAUCGCCCUUUUAUUUCAGAGGGUACUACAUUAAAAGAUUUAAUUUAUAAUAUGACCACAUCAAGUUCUUGAUCAGGGUUACCAUUGAUUGUUCAGAGAACAAUUGCAAGAACUAUUGUGUUACAAGAAAGCAUUGGCAAGGGUUGAUUUGGAGAAGUUUGGCGAGGAAAAUGGAGGGGAGAAGAAGUUGCCAUUAAGAUAUUUUCCUCCAGAGAAGAGUGUUCCUGGUUCCGUGAGGCAGAGAUCUAUCAAACUGUAAUGUUACGUCAUGAAAACAUCCUGGGAUUUAUAGCAGCAGACAAUAAAGACAGCAGUACUUGGACUCAGCUCUCAUUGGUAUCUGAUUAUCAUGAGCAUGGAUCCCUUUUUGAUUACUUGAACAGAUACACAGUUACUGUGGAAGGAAUGAUUAAGCUCGCUCUGUCCACUGCAAGCGGUCUUGCCCAUCUUCACAUGGAGAUUGUUGGUACCCAAGGAAAACCAGUUGUUGCUCAUAGAGAUUUGAAAUCAAAAAAUAUCUUGGUGAAGAAGAACAGGACUUGCUGUAUUGCAGACUUAGGACUGGCAGUGAGACGUGAUUCAGCCACAGAUACAAUUGAUAUUGCUCCGAACCACAAAGUGGGAACAAAAAGGUAAUGGCCCUGAAGUUCUAGAUGAUUCCAUAAAUAUGAAACACUUUGAAUCCUUCAAAUGAGCUGAUAUCUAUGCAAUGGGCUUAGUAUUCUGGGAAAUUGCUCGACCAUGUUCCACUGGUGGAAUUCAUGAAGACUACCAGCUGCCUUAUUAUGAUCUGAUCCAUCAGUUGAAGAAAUGAGAAAAGUUGUUUGUGAACAGAAGUUAAGGCCAAAUAUUCCAAACAGAUGGCAGAGUUGUGAAGCCUUGAGAGUGAUGGCUAAAAUGAGGAGAGAAUGUUGGUAUGCCAAUGGAGCAGCUAGGCUUACAGCUUUGCGGAUUAAGAAAACAUUGUCACAACUCAGUCAACAGGAAGGCAUCAAAAUGUAAUUCUGUGGCUUUGCCUGAACUCUGCUUUUUUCUUCAGAUCUGCUCCUGGGCUGUAAUUUGGGAGGUCAAUUGUUUCACCUCAC